rnacentral:rRNA from 1 species
AUUGAACGCUGGCGGCACGCUUAACACAUGCAAGUCGAGCGGUAACGUGGUCUGUAGCAAUACAGACUGAUGACGAGCGGCGGACGGGUGAGUAACACGUAGGAACCUGCCCAGAAGAGGGGGACAACCAAGGGAAACUUUGGCUAAUACCGCGUAAUCUCGAAAGAGAAAAGUUGCCCGCAAGGGUGACGCUUUUGGAGGGGCCUGCGUCCGAUUAGCUAGUUGGUGAGGUAAUAGCUCACCAAGGUAGUGAUCGGUAACUGGUCUGAGAGGACGACCAGUCACACUGGGACUGAGACACGGCCCAGACUCCUACGGGAGGCAGCAGUGGGGAAUCUUGGACAAUGGGGGCAACCCUGAUCCAGCGAUGCCGCGUGGGUGAAGAAGGCCUUCGGGUUGUAAAGUACUUUCAGCGGGGAGGAAGGCGGUGAAGUUAAUAGCUUCACCGAUUGACGUUACCCGCAGAAGAAGCACCGGCUAACUCCGUGCCAGCAGCCGCCGUAA